CCUACUCCUGCUCUGGGGGGAAGCUUGGCGGCCCGGGGAGGCUACCCCAGGAAGGGGUGCGCGGGGGGAUGGCGAAAGACACCCUCUGAGCACAGGCAGAGCCAGAGGUUGUGGAUGCCUGCUUUGAGUCCUCCGUGCAAACACCGCAACAACCUUCUGUCACUCUGAUGUGGCACCGGGGAUCAGAUGGCAGGUGUCGAGAGGCUGUGGUUCCUUCCCUCUGUGUCUGUGUAGUAUCAGUGGUUCAGCCAUACCCACAGGUGCUUCACUGGUGUUCAAGGAAAUGUAACCUAGAGCAUAAUGGAAGCUGGUUACAAUCUUAACUAUGGAGGAGCUACUGUAUCUCCAUAACAAGUAAAGCAACUUAAAUUACCAUAAUAAAGUAUUGUCAUUCCAGAAGACUUCUCAGAGAGAGCACGUAGACAGUGGAGACUGCUUCUGAUCCCCAUGUCACAGCAAAGAUCUUCCCAGCAAGCUGGAAUAAAUUAUAAAAGAAAGGAAGUGACAUCAUCACUUGGCCUCUUCCCCACCCCUCCAAACUCAACACCUGGAAAAAAACAUCUGGAGGACAAAGAUUUUGAACUGGGGAAGGAUGGUCCCAAGCUGGAAGGCAGUUCCAACCUGUAUAUUGAUGAUCUGUGACCUGUUUGUACCAUCUGUCAGGGUGAGACACCGCUUGAUUCAAAUCCUGUUUAGUUUGUAGAACUCAGAUUGUGAAUUUAUGUUUAUUUCUUAGGUAACCAACUUUGAUUUCUAUGCUUGCUACUUAUAAUCACUUAAAAUCUAUCUUUCUGUAGUUAAUAAAUCUGUUUUAUA